UGCAGGAUUCUUCUGAAAAUUAUGCAAGACAAGCUUCCAAGAUUGGCUCAAGUAGUCGCAGGGCAUUUACAGGAUUUAUUGUUGAGCAUAGUCAUGGACUGGCACCCAUCCAGUCAACCAAAAGCACCACCCUGGACCAGGUACACUGACAGCUCUCCAAUUUUUUUGCAGUAACACAAGCAGGGACCCCUACAAUGAGGUGUUACAUAUAUUCCAUGGACUGUGGGUUGCACUCUGGUUCCUCUACCACUUUGAACUAUUGGUGACAUAAAAAAAUUGUUAUUCCUUUUGUGAAUUUUCCUUUUUGCUAUUCUUCUGCUACAAAUUCUAGCAGCUAAAUUCCAGCAUUGCUCGUCCGGCACAACAGAACUGGUCCAGCAUCUGAUCUUUGCAGAGGAAUUAUACUUAAUCAGCUGAACCUAGGUUGCUCAGAUGGCUACUUCAAAUCGUUAUGAAACUAUGUUGUUUUGCAGGCUCUUCUGGUUCAAAUCCCUCAAAGCCGGUGUCCGGGUUCAAGAUGCAGAAAGGCAACCGCUGAUCAUGAACAGAUACUGGUAAAUUAUCUGCAGUAAAGUGCUUGGUUAUGUUGCAACAUCCUGAUGUUGCAUUUUUCUUUCCCUAUGUGGAUAUGUAUAUGCAAGUGCUCACCAAAAGGAACAAAAGAAUGUGAAGUAUCCUUCCGUAGAAGAACAGUUCUAUCUGCACUUCUUUCCGGUUACAGUGCUGGAACCAAGCAUCCUGCAUGUUGACGCCGGAGUCUUCUAUCACCUGCACGUGGUGGGGGAUUAGAAGAAAACGUGGUUUUCAAAUCCACCAGCUGUCAAGUUCAGUCAAAUGAAGAUAAAAACCUAGGAAUUUGACAGAAAUGUCUGUUUGUCUCCAUCUUUUGAGGAAGGAGAUUGUGGUUUAAGACUAUAUUUAGCGGGCUGUCUGAGUAAAAUAUUCUGAUGCAAGUUUGGGAUUGGUGAUCUUGCUGAGGUCUUCUCUGAAAAUAUUAUAGGCUCUGAAGUCUUAAUUCUGUUUGGGUAGGAAUCAGAUGAGUCGAACCAUCUUGUGGCUUUUCUCCACUACUUUAACAUCUGUCUCAGCUUGAACAAGAAGGUAGAUGGAGGGCCUAGCUGCACUUAAAAGAUUUCUGG